rnacentral:rRNA from 1 species
AUUGAACGCUGGCGGCAGGCCUAACACAUGCAAGUCGAGCGAGCGGCGGACGGGUUAGUAAUGUCUGGGAAACUGCCUGAUGGAGGGGGCUAACUACUGGAAACGGUAGCUAAUACCCCAUACCAUCAGAUGUGCCCACAUGGGAUUAGCUAGUCGGUGGGGUAAUGGCUCACCUAGUCGACGAUCCCUAGCUGGUCUGAGAGGAUGACCAGCCAGACUGGAACUGAGACACGGUCAAGACUCCUACGGGAGGCAGCAGUGGGGAAGAUUGCAAAAUGGGCGCAAGCCUGAUGCAGCCAUGCCGCGUGUGUGAAGAAGGCCUUCGGGUUGUAAAGCACUUUCAGCGGGGAGGCGUUACCCGCAGAAGAAGCACCGGCUAACUCCGUGCCAGCAGCCGCGGUAAUUC